GAUGAACGCUGGCGGCGUGCUUAAUACAUGCAAGUCGAGCGGACAGGCGAUGAGUUUGCUCCGUGGACGUGUGGCGAGGGGGUGAGUGACACGUGUGUAUCACCUCCCUGUCUUUCUGGUAUCUUCUCGAGAAUGGGGAUAAUAUCGGGUAUGAUAUCUUGAAGCACGGUGGGCAUUGGUAAGUUACGGCGGUUGUGGAUGGACUCGAGGCUUAUCCGCUUCAUGGUGGGGUAGUGGCGUACCAGGCUUUUGACGGCUAGCCGGCCUGAGAGGGUGACCGGCCACAAUGGUACUGAGAGACGGCCCAGACUCCUACGGGAGGCAGCGGGGGGGAAUAUUGCACAAUGGGCGGAAGCCUGAUGCAGCAACGCCGCGUGCGGGAUGACGUCCUUCGGGUGAUAAACCGCUUUCGCCUGAGACGAAGCGUGAGUGACGGUAAUGGGUAAAGAAGCACCGGCUAACUACGUG
rnacentral:rRNA from 1 species